UGCUGAGGUCCUGUGAAGUGCCGAGG
rnacentral:piRNA from 1 species